GAGGGUACAGCUCAGGGGAAGAGCACAUGCUUAGUAUGCAUGAGAUCCUGGGUUCAAGCCUCAGUGCUGGCA
rnacentral:tRNA from 1 species